rnacentral:tRNA from 1 species
GGCACCCGCGGCGGCGCUUGCGCCCGCGCCGCUCGCGCCAGUGCCGGCCGCCGGCGUGCGGUUCCACGGGUGCCACC